CCUACGGGUGGCAGCAGUGGGGAAUAUUGCACAAUGGGCGCAAGCCUGAUGCAGCCAUGCCGCGUGUGUGAAGAAGGCCUUCGGGUUGUAAAGCACUUUCAGCGGGGAGGAAGGCGGUGAGGUUAAUAACCUCAUCGAUUGACGUUACCCGCCGAAGAAGCACCGGCUAACUCCGUGCCAGCAGCCGCGGUAAUACGGAGGGUGCAAGCGUUAAUCGGAAUUACUGGGCGUAAAGCGCACGCAGGCGGUCUGUCAAGUCGGAUGUGAAAUCCCCGGGCUCAACCUGGGAACUGCAUUCGAAACUGGCAGGCUAGAGUCGUGUAGAGGGGGGUAGAAUUCCAGGUGUAGCGGUGAAAUGCGUAGAGAUCUGGAGGAAUACCGGUGGCGAAGGCGGCCCCCUGGACAAAGACUGACGCUCAGGUGCGAAAGCGUGGGGAGCAAACAGGAUUAGAUACCCGGGUAGUC
rnacentral:rRNA from 1 species